rnacentral:rRNA from 1 species
UACGUAGGGGGCAAGCGUUGUCCGGAUUUAUUGGGCGUAAAGAGCGUGUAGGCGGCCUGGAAGGUCAGCUGUGAAAACUCGAGGCUCAACCUCGAGACGUCGGUUGAAACCACCUGGCUAGAGUCCGGAAGAGGAGAGUGGAAUUCCCGGUGUAGCGGUGAAAUGCGCAGAUAUCGGGAAGAACACCCGUGGCGAAGGCGGCUCUCUGGGACGGUACUGACGCUGAGACGCGAAAGCGUGGAGAGCGAACAGG